rnacentral:rRNA from 1 species
GACGAACGCUGGCGGCGUGCUUAACACAUGCAAGUCGAACGGGUCUGCCCUGUUUUUUGCGGGGUGGGUCAGUGGCGAACGGGUGAGUAACACGUGAGUAACCUGCCCCUCACUUCUGGAUAACCGCUUGAAAGGGUGGCUAAUACGGGGUGUUCUGGCUGUGCCGCAUGGUGUGGCUGGGAAAGAUUCACUUUUGUGGUGUUUUGGUGGGGGAUGGGCUCGCGGACUAUCAGCCUGUUGGGGGGGUGAUGGCCUGCCAAGGCUUUGACGGGUAGCCGGCCUGAGAGGGUGGGCGGUCACACUGGGACUGAGAUACGGCCCAGACUCCUGCGGGAGGCAGCAGUGGGGGGUAUUGCACAAUGGGCGGAAGCCUGAUGCAGCGACGUCGCGUGAGGGAUGGAGGCCUUCGGGUUGUGAACCUCUUUCGCCGGUGAAGAAGGUCCUGCUCUUUGUGGUGGGGUUGACGGUAGCCGGGUUAUGAAGCGCCGGCUAACUACGUG